GGUAUGGUAUUGGCUUACCGUGGCAGUGACGGUUAACGGGGGAUUAGGGUUCGAUUCCGGAGAGGGAGCCUGAGAAACGGCUACCACAUCUAAGGAAGGCAGCAGGCGCGCAAAUUACCCAAUUCUAAUAGCAAAAGAGAGGUAGUGACAAGAAAUAACAGUACAAGGCAGUUAAAAUGCUUUGUAAUUGGAAUGAUAGAAAUUUAAAUACUUUUUAAAGUAUCAAUUGGAGGGCAAGUCUGGUGCCAGCAGCCGCGGUAAUUCCAGCUCCAAUAGCGUAUAUUAAAAUUGUUGCAGUUAAAAAGCUCGUAGUUGAAUUUCUGCUAGAAAUAACCGGUUUGCUUUUAUUAAUAAAAGUGGUACCUUGGUGUGUUUUUAGCAAUAAUGUUCUUUGAAAUGUUUUUUACUUUAUUGUAAAAAACAAAAUUCAGGAUUUUUACUUUGAGAAAAUUAGAGUGUUUCAAGCAGGCUAACGUUUUGAAUA
rnacentral:rRNA from 1 species